AAUGAGGGGAACUCAGGGAACUGAAACAUCUAAGUACCUGAAGGAAGAGAAAGAAAUUCGAUUCCGUAAGUAGCGGCGAGCGAACGCGGAUUAGCCCAAACCAAUAAAGUUUUCUUUAUUGGGGUUGAGGACAUACCACAUAUAAGAGGUCAUUAUAGACGAAGAAGUUUGGAAAAACUCAUCAUAGAAGGUAAUAAUCCUGUAGUCAAAAUAAUAAUUCUUUAGGUAUGAUCCAGAGUACCACGGGACACGUGAAACCCUGUGGGAAGCAGGAGGGACCACCCUCCAAGGCUAAAUACUACCUAGUGACCGAUAGCGUAUAGUACCGUGAGGGAAAGGUGAAAAGAACCCCGGGAGGGGAGUGAAAUAGAACCUGAAACCCUGCACUUACAAGCUGUGGAAGCACAUUUCUUGUGUGACCGCGUACUUUUUGUAGAACGGGCCAACGAGUUACGUUAAGUAGCAAGGUUAAGCACUUAAGGUGUGGAGCCGUAGCGAA
rnacentral:rRNA from 1 species